GUGAGGAAUAUUGGUCAAUGGACGGAAGUCUGAACCAGCCAUGCCGCGUGAAGGAUGAAGGCGUUCUGCGUUGUAAACUUCUUUUAUUUAGGAAGAAACCACCGAUUUCUAUUGGUGUUGACGGUAUUAAAUGAAUAAGCACCGGCUAACUCCGUGCCAGCAGCCGCGGUAAUACGGAGGGUGCGAGCGUUAUCCGGAUUUACUGGGUUUAAAGGGUGCGCAGGCGGUCUUAUAAGUCCGGGGUGAAAUACUACAGCUCAACUGUAGAACUGCCUUGGAUACUAUAGGACUUGAAUCGAGUAUAGGUCAGCGGAAUACAACAUGUAGCGGUGAAAUGCAUAGAUAUGUUGUGGAACACCGAUUGCGAAGGCAGCUGACUGGGCUUGAAUUGACGCUCAGGCACGAAAGCGUGGGUAGCGAACAGGAUUAGAUACCCCAGUAGUCC
rnacentral:rRNA from 1 species